GUGACGGAGUGCAAGCACUCGCGUUUACCCCUGAUGAUUAGGCAACCCCCAUGACGUGAGUUCGCUGCGCGCGCUUUGACGAGCGGUUGCUCAAACCGACACGUGAUUGGAACUCAGUUACGAUCUUAAGAGGCCGCACGUGCAGAUUCUGAACCAAGGGUUUGACUCGUUUAUCUUCGUGAGAAUUGGAAAAGGAGAGCGUGUAGGCCGUGUACCUUCAGCGUACCGAGUGGGAGCGGGACACACUAUUAGAGAGCGAUAUUUCCCGAAUAGGCUAAGCCCAACGCAACGUUUACGUGCAUCCGGUGGAUUCGUACGUAACUUCGGCGAUCAGUUUCCCAGGCUCGAGUCUGAGAAAUUUUAGUGACUCGAUCACAUUCUCCUAACCCGUGGAACGAUUCGGAAGUGCAGUGAAUUUGCUGGAGUUGUAACAAGCUAGGCCGAUAGAAAAGUAGUGCGAUAGAUAGCUAGCUUUUGUGACCUUUGUGCGAGAACCUGCGAAGAAAGGCAGCGUGGUCACAAGUUUACUUGUCUCCGGCGGCUUCCCUCGUCCGCGGACAGGAUUGCUGGCCGAGCUACAACCCUGUGGCCAGCCGCCACGCCGUCAACAUCGUGGCAGAAAAACCCCGGUCGUACCGCAACCUUCGACCGAGCCACUCCAGUCACCUGUGGCCUUUUCGACGUAAACGCCUGGCCGCACCGCAACCUAGUUGCCGCGGCGAUCUUCGUCGACUCGUGAGGAUUCUUCACGAAUCACCGUUCGAAGCUGCCUGGCCCCCAACAACCACGUGGCCCGCAGCGAACGCCUCGAACACGCCGUGACGCUGUCACGGACCGAAGGUCGGCAGACCUGAAGACCGACCACGUGGCAAAUCGAUCGGUUCCC